rnacentral:rRNA from 1 species
UACGUAGGGCGCGAGCGUUGUCCGGAAUUAUUGGGCGUAAAGAGCUCGUAGGCGGUCUGUCGCGUCUGCUGUGAAAACCCGGGGCUCAACCCCGGGCCUGCAGUGGGUACGGGCAGACUAGAGUGCGGUAGGGGAGACUGGAAUUCCUGGUGUAGCGGUGAAAUGCGCAGAUAUCAGGAGGAACACCGAUGGCGAAGGCAGGUCUCUGGGCCGUAACUGACGCUGAGGAGCGAAAGCAUGGGGAGCGAACAGG